AGUUUGAUCCUGGCUCAGAUUGAACGCUGGCGGAAUGCUUUACACAUGCAAGUCGAACGGUAGAGGGGCAACCCUUGAGAGUGGCGAACGGGUGAGUAAUAUAUCGGAACGUGCCCAGUCGUGGGGGAUAACGUAGCGAAAGUUACGCUAAUACCGCAUACGAUCUACGGAUGAAAGCGGGGGAUCGCAAGACCUCGCGCGAUUGGAGCGGCCGAUAUCAGAUUAGGUAGUUGGUGAGGUAAAGGCUCACCAAGCCGACGAUCUGUAGCUGGUCUGAGAGGACGACCAGCCACACUGGGACUGAGACACGGCCCAGACUCCUACGGGAGGCAGCAGUGGGAAUUUUGGACAAUGGGCGCAAGCCUGAUCCAGCAAUGCCGCGUGCAGGAUGAAGGCCUUCGGGUUGUAAACUGCUUUGUACGGAACGAAACGGUGAGCUCUAAUACAGUUUGCUAAUGACGGUACCGUAAGAAUAAGCACCGGCUAACUACGUG
rnacentral:rRNA from 1 species